rnacentral:ncRNA from 1 species
CCCGCUGAUUUUAAGCAUAUCAAUAAGCAGAGGAAAAGAAACUUACCAGGAUUCCCCUAGUACUGGCGAGCGAACAGGGA